CCUCCAGACUCCUACGGGAGGCAGUAGUGAGGAAUAUUGGUCAAUGGGCGAGAGCCUGAACCAGCCAAGUCGCGUGAGGGAAGACGGUCCUAUGGCUUGUAAACCUCUUUUGCCGGGGAGCAAAAAGCGGUACGUGUACCGCAUCGAGAGUACCCGGAGAAAAAGCAUCGGCUAACUCCGUGCCAGCAGCCGCGGUAAUACGGAGGAUGCGAGCGUUAUCCGGAUUUAUUGGGUUUAAAGGGUGCGCAGGGGGAAGAUAAAGUCAGGGGUAAAAUUGGGGGGCACACCCUCUCCGAGCCGUUGAAACUGGUUUUCUUGAGUGAGCGAGAAGUAUGCGGAAUGCGUGGUGUAGCGGUGAAAUGCAUAGAUAUCACGCAGAACUCCGAUUGCGAAGGCAGCAUACCGGCGCUCAACUGACGCUCAUGCACGAAAGUGUGGGUAUCGAACAGGAUUAGAUCCCCUUGUA
rnacentral:rRNA from 1 species